rnacentral:rRNA from 1 species
GACGAACGCUGGCGGCGUGCUUAACACAUGCAAGUCGAACGGAAAGGCCCUGCUUUUGUGGGGUGCUCGAGUGGCGAACGGGUGAGUAACACGUGAGUAACCUGCCCUUGACUUUGGGAUAACUUCAGGAAACUGGGGCUAAUACCGGAUAGGAGCUCCUGCUGCAUGGUGGGGGUGGGAAAGUCUCGGCGGUUGGGGAUGGACUCGCGGCUGAUCAGCUUGUUGGUGGGGUAGUGGCUUACCAAGGGUUUGACGGGUAGCCGGCCUGAGAGGGGGACCGGCCACAAUGGUACUGAGAGACGCCGCAGACUGCUAUGGGAGGCAGCGGUGGGGAAUAUUGCACAGUGGGCGGACGCCUGAUGCAACGACGCCGCGGGCGGGAUGACGGCCUUCGGGUUAUAAACCGCUUUCGCCUGUGACGAAGCGUGAGUGACGGUAAUGGGUAAAGAAGCACCGGCUAACUACGUG